CGGGGCGUGGCGCAGCCUGGUAGCGCGCACCGUUCGGGUCGGUGAGGCCCCCGGUUCGAAUCCGGGCGCCCCGA
rnacentral:tRNA from 1 species